UAGGCCUCUACGACUUAUAACGUAUGAAUUUAUCCAACAAAUCGCCUAUCUUAAAUUUUCAAAGGGAAAUAACUCCCAUAAGAUGUCUUCCGAUCACUCAAGUCAAAAUUAACCAAAUCAUUCUUAAGAGUAGACGAACAAUUUGGUGAAAACAGUUUGCUAAAAUCUUUUAUGGUUUUAGAGAUAUAGCGAUAACAAGAAAAAGGGGACGCGGGGAGAUAAAUCCUAUAAGAAUAAGUGUUCGGUCACACAGGGUGAGUUAUGAAACCCCCAUUACUGUACAACAUCAUUGGCCAAAAAUCCAUUCGAUAUGUUGUAAGACAAAAAAGCAUCUC
rnacentral:lncRNA from 1 species